AAAAAUAAAAACAGAUCAAAGAUAAUCAAAUAAAAACCAAAAAUCGUUGUACAGAGAUUUGUUUACCCCUUCACGUGGAUGCUAUUAUUAAAAGACGGGUACGUAUAUGAAUUUGAUGAGUUAACAGCUGAAGGCGACGAACAGAUCACGACUAUGACUUUUUUGAUGAGCUAAGAACGGAAGAAGGCGACUAUAGCUUGUUCAAUAUAUAAUUUUGAGAAGAUGUGGGGAUGCUAAAUCCUAUUUUUAUUUUUAUUGUUAUCCACAAAUUUUAUUUGAGUAAAUCCUAUUAAACUGAUUU
rnacentral:sRNA from 1 species